AGUUAAGACGCCGCGAGGGGCCCAGAGUCCCUCCCCUCGCUGGGCCCCGGUCCCGCCGGCGUCUAUAACGCCGUCGCAGCGGCCUUUAACCCCGCCUCUCACUCAAGCCCUGCCCGCGUCCAAGUCCCGCCCUCAAGGCGGCCUCAGCUACGACCGCCGCGCGCCUCCCUGGAGGCGCCCGCUCCUGCCCGGAGCCCCGCCCGUCUUGGGCCCGCCCUUCCGGGCCCUGCCGCGUUGAGUGGCGGAGUCGGGAUCCAGGUGGCCCGCCGGCCGGCUCAGUCCACCGCCCCGCUCCCGACCUCGCGCCCCACCCCUUGGAUGAGAAAACUGAAACUGAGAGGGGACGUGACUGAUCCAAGGCCUGGCCUUUCCAGCUCCGGAGCCCGCCACAAGAAGCUCCUAGCCCCACAUGAUGUGAAUGCAUUGGGCCCCAGCCAGGAAGUGGAGACCCGUGAAGGAAGGAAUAGCAGCACUCUCCCAGCCAGCAGCAGCAGUUUCCCUUCCUCUUUCCUUCCCUGCCUGUGUGGGCCGUUCCCCCAUAGCAGCUCUAAUUUGAGAUGCCAGAGCCUGACCCGGAAUGGGGGCCCAACUCAGUGUCCCCUUCUCGGACAGCACAGUGGUCCUUGCAGUCCAUGCGCCAUCUGUCUCUUUGCCUCAGUUCUCCCCUGUGCCAUGACCUCCCAUCAGGGCCGGCAUAGGGGGCAUCAGGAGAAUGGGUGCAGUUGUCACCUGGAAACCUCAAAAUUCUUGGGGCCCAGUCAUGGUCACUAUACAGCAGCCACCCCUGUCCCCAAACACUGAAGGUGAACCCCGUCCAUGCUCCCCAGGAGGCCAGGCUGCCAUCAGACCCAGCCUGCCCCAGGCCCAUGUACAGGGCCGUCCCAGGCCAGGAGGGUAGUGGACCAGCCUGUGGGUCCCUGCAGGCCUCUCAUCUGCUUGUGUGCCUGGGUGAGUCCAGGCUGGCUCUGGGCUCCAGGUGCUCCCCUGGAGGACCCAGAGGGGGCUUCCCCAGAGGGCCUCUUUUGCCCCAGUGGGAUGCAGCCUGACCCCAAUUCUUCUGCAUCCAUCACACUGUUAUGACGUCUAGUACUUACUUCUCUGGGUUUAUUUUGCACACACUCCUGCCCCUGAGUGAUGUCAGAGCCAUAAGGGUGGCGACGGAGUGGAAGGGGGACACAGUGGGGACUGCAGGGGCUCCAGGCACUGUCCACCUUCAGGGAACCUUGACCCCAGCCCCUUUUAGGAAAGGUAGCAUCCCACCUUCACAUCCACUCCUGCACCCUCAGGACUGCCCCUGGCCAUGUGAUGAACAGGGAAACUGAGGUUUGGAGCAUGAAGCCCCUUGCCCAAAGUCUAGCAGCCAGAUGUGGCCUCCCAAGUACAGGUCGCUGUUCCUCAGCCACCUGAGGGUUUGAAAAGGAUUUACUUAAAGGAACCCAAGCCUGCAUGCAGGGACUGAAAGCCCUGUGCCCUCUGGGAUGUGCCCUCCAACCCUAUGAGAUGGAAGGCCACGGCAGAAAGCAGGACAGCUGCUGGUGCAGCCAGGGGUGUACAGCCUGGAUGCCCACCACGGGGGCUGCAAGCAGGCACGGGCACCGCAUGGUCAAAGGGCAGAUCCUGGGCAUUCCCCCUCCCCCAGGCAUAGCACAUGCAUCCUCCCUCCGGGCUAGCUCUUGCCAGCUGUGGCUGCCUGGACCCCAAAUGGAAAGUGAGUUCUUGGGAAGGUGGAGGGGCCCCUUAGAAGGAGUGAAGUGAGGUGUGACAGGAAGCCCCGCCCUUGGACACUGUCAAAGAAAAAACAGAGCUGGACUGUGGUUACAGAUGUAGAAACAGAUUUUUAUUCGGGACUCUUGUGAUAGGGGAAGAGAGACAUCAGCAGAGAACUGGGCUCAAUUCCAAAUACAGCAAGGACACUUGGGACAGGAGGGGGCUUUGAGGAUGGAAAAUUAGGAAGAGGAAACAUCAGGGUGAAGGGGAUUCCGGCUGACAGAAUUCUUGCAAAGACAGCCUGGGCUUAUGAGACCUCACCCAGGGGAUGGUGGGGGUAAGGACCCUGAUUGGGUAUCAAGGGUGAUCAAGUAUCCAGGGUGGGGAGUUCUUGCCAAACUCAUUAGGAGGAUUCUUUGUUGAAACUGGAUUUUACAAGGAAGUUCACAGAUGGGCCAAGGAGAAAGUUCAGGACCCUGGCUAAAGUUUGUCAAGCACAGAAUCUUUGUCAACGUCACAGAAGCCAGAGCCCUGACACACACACACACCCACUCCUCUGAACGGCCUCCACCUUACUAUUUGCUUCUUUCAGAUUUUCUUGCCAUCACAUGCUUGAUCUCAUUAGAAAGCAGGCACAAUUUUAAAAUUAUACAGGCAAAGCUAAUUUCCACAGGGGUUCUUUGCACUGGGUUGGGUGGGGGCACUCCCCCUGGUUUUCAUAGGGCCAGCCAUUCCUCAGGCCUCUGCUCACCUGCACCCUGACCCUGUGGGCUCUGCCUUCCAAGCCCAGCCCUGCUCCCACCUCAGUGACCGCCAUCCCUGUUAUCUCUUGCCUGGAAGGUGGCAGCUGCCUUCUCACAUCUCACUGGUUCCCUGCCCCAUCCUUGUCCCCACGGCCCAGUACCCACAUAGUGGCCACAGGGGUCAUAACACUGAGUCUGACCAUCCUCCUCCCUCACCCCGGGCUCAUAGCCUUCCAGUUCCUCCAGCAGCCACCUCUGCCAUUUACAAAUCUUCAUGUGUGCUGUGACCACCCAGAAUGCUCUUCCCAGCUCCGUGUCUAGCAUCCUCACCCCCGCCUUGGAGUCUGGCCCUUCUGGACCACGUCACUCGCCACUGCACCCCACCCCCCGUCUCUGUUCUUCAGAGCGCUAGUCUUGCCCUAUGAUGGCUUCUCCACUGACCAUCAUCUGUGCUGCAGUGUUCACUCCACAAAGGCUGGCAUGCAGGAGGCACUUAAUGAAUGCACACAGAUAGUUCUAUUGAUGAUUAGGGUUAAGGAUAGGAGGGCAAGGACAGAUGCUAUAAAGAUGACAGGGUGGCCUCCCCGAGAGGCUGAUGCUGAAGACCGGGUGUUCCUAGGCCAGGGCAGGAGGCAUGAGGCCCCCAUGGGCUGUGGGAGACCUUCAUGGCUGAAGCUGACUGUAACCAGGCCAAGAGGUGAUGGUAGGUGAUGAAGGGCCUGAACACCGAGGAGCAAGGACAUUCUCCUCCCACAUUCUCACAUGGCCAGGGAGCAUCAUUUAUCCAUUCAGUCACUCAUUAAUUCGUUCAACAAAUAUCUCCUAAACAUAGGCCCAACCCAGAGCUGGAUCACAAGGAAGACUGGAAGCUCCACCCCGCCAUGGAGCUUCCCUGUUACCAGAGGACACAAACACACAUCUGCAUGUUGAUCUGAGAGCCCUGUGUGGAGAGGAACUAGGCCCCCAGCCAACAACCAGCAGUGACUCACUGUGAGAGAGUGAAUCAUCUUGGAAGUGAAUCCUAAGCCCCAAUAGAGACUUCAGAUGAGACUGCAACCCUGGCUGACAUCUGACUGCAGUGGCAUAAGAAACCCUAAGUCAGAAUCACCCUGCAAAGCCCAAAUUCUUGACCCACCAAGUGAAAGAGAAUAAAUGACGAUUGUUGUGUUUGAA